CGGGUUUGUCCCUCAGUUGUCUUGGGAUUUCAACAUGAGAAGCAUUUGUAAUCCGCAACAUCGUAAAUCUGGUGCCUUCUUAUGAGACAUGCAAUGAGAAUUCAAGAUCUUCUCAACCAAUGCUUUAUUUUAUACAUCACAUUGGUGCUAAUUUCUAGCACGGUUUAAUGUCUCCACAAGUUGUUUAAUGGCUGCCAUAGCAUGCGUUGUUGGAUUACAUUAUGGGCACAUUCUUGUUCAUG